AAUCGGACGCCAACGCGCCAACCCGCCAACUGCGAAGCUCUUGUUCGGCUGCGUGCUUCAACGCAACUCGGCUGUUAAGUGUGUAAACUCUGGCUUGUUUUCCUCGCCUCGAGAAAUUCCGUUUGCACUGGAGGCCUGGCUUUAGCAUCCGUCACGGACUUUAUGGAGAGGUGGAGACAUACAUGAAUAAUGGCGUGUUCAACGGUGCCACAGGACAUCACCGGCGAUCUGAGAGGGCACUGCAAGGAGUGCGAAUGCAGUGGUUUUCAGUGCCUUGUUGAUCUGGCCAUGACAAGGUACCUAUUGGCUGGUGCAUUCUCUGUGGACACUCGCCUGCCUCAUAUGGACCUCUCGUCAGCCUCUAUGAGGGUGCCCAAGACGGAUAUCUGGAGGAAGCUGAAUCUUGCAGUGCACCACAACAGUCUUUGGCUAGGCAAAUAUGUGGCCAGUGGUCAACAGACACCACCACUUACCCAGAAAGAGGGCCUGCGCAAUCUGUCGAAAAUUAUUCUUUGACAGUGCACCAGACAAUGAAGUUCGGCACCCAGGAAGUGCUUCCGCCCCUGUACUGACGCAAGGGGCCGAAGAAAGUUUUCGUUCAAGCACCUCGACCCAGCUACAUCAUAAGUGUGUACACUGCGACUUCUCAUCUUAUUAUUUUAGUCGUUUUCCAUCUCACAUGAAACUUGCUCAUCGUUCUGUUAAAAAGUACACCUGUGCCCUUUGUAAGGUCACUUUUGCAGCUGUUACCCGUUAUAAACAGCAUUUUGAUGAAUUUCACAUCUUGAUCGUGGCCAGUGAAGAGCAGCAUUUGCUGAGUAGCGACAGUGAAAUGGUCCACCAGGACAUGAGCAUUGAA
rnacentral:misc_RNA from 1 species